GAUGAACGCUGGCGGCGUGCUUAACACAUGCAAGUCGAACGAUGAAGCCCAGCUUGCUGGGUGGAUUAGUGGCGAACGGGUGAGUAACACGUGAGUAACCUGCCCUUGACUCUGGGAUAAGCCUGGGAGACUGGGUCUAAUACUGGAUAUGACUUCUCAUCGCAUGGUGGGGGGUGGAAAGAUUUAUUGGUCUUGGAUGGACUCGCGGCCUAUCAGCUUGUUGGUGAGGUAAUGGCUCACCAAGGCGACGACGGGUAGCCGGCCUGAGAGGGUGACCGGCCACACUGGGACUGAGACACGGCCCAGACUCCUACGGGAGGCAGCAGUGGGGAAUAUUGCACAAUGGGCGCAAGCCUGAUGCAGCGACGCCGCGUGAGGGAUGACGGCCUUCGGGUUGUAAACCUCUUUCAGUAGGGAAGAAGCGAGAGUGACGGUACCUGCAGAAGAAGCGCCGGCUAACUACGUG
rnacentral:rRNA from 1 species